UGGGGAAUUUUGCACAAUGGGGGAAACCCUGAUGCAGCGACGCCGCGUGAUUUAGAAGGCCUUCGGGUUGUAAAAAUCUUUUGUAUAGGAAGAAAAUGACAGUACUAUACGAAUAAGGACCGGCUAAUUACGUGCCAGCAGCCGCGGUAAUACGUAAGGUCCGAGCGUUGUCCGGAAUCAUUGGGCGUAAAGGGUACGUAGGCGGGUAAGCAAGUUAGAAGUGAAAUCCUAUAGCUCAACUAUAGUAAGCUUUUAAAACUGCUCAUCUUGAGGUAUGGAAGGGAAAGUGGAAUUCCUAGUGUAGCGGUGAAAUGCGCAGAUAUUAGGAGGAAUACCGGUGGCGAAGGCGACUUUCUGGCCAUAACCUGACGCUGAGGUACGAAAGCGUGGGGAGCAAACAGG
rnacentral:rRNA from 1 species